rnacentral:rRNA from 1 species
CCUACGGGGAGCAGCAGUGAGGAAUAUUGGUCAAUGGACGAGAGUCUGAACCAGCCAAGUAGCGUGAAGGAUGACUGCCCUAUGGGUUGUAAACUUCUUUUAUAUGGGAAUAAAAUGUUCCACGUGUGGGAUUUUGUAUGUACCAUAUGACUAAGGAUCGGCUAACUCCGUGCCAGCAGCCGCGGUAAUACGGAGGAUCCGAGCGUUAUCCGGAUUUAUUGGGUUUAAAGGGAGCGUAGGUGGAUUGUUAAGUCAGUUGUGAAAGUUUGCGGCUCAACCGUAAAAUUGCAGUUGAAACUGGCAGUCUUGAGUACAGUAGAGGUGGGCGGAAUUCGUGGUGUAGCGGUGAAAUGCUUAGAUAUCACGAAGAACUCCGAUUGCGAAGGCAGUUCACUGGACUGCAACUGACACUGAGGCUCGAAAGUGUGGGUAUCAAACAGGAUUAGAUACCCUAGUAGUC